rnacentral:tRNA from 1 species
GGGCGCAUAGCUCAGCGGGGAGAGCACUUGCCUUACAAGCAAGGUGCCAUAGCUUCGAGUCCUAUUGCGCCCUCAA